rnacentral:rRNA from 1 species
GACGAACGCUGGCGGCGUGCUUAACACAUGCAAGUCGAACGGAAAGGCCCCUUUGGGGGUACUCGAGUGGCGAACGGGUGAGUAACACGUGAGUAACCUGCCCUUGACUUCGGGAUAACUUCAGGAAACUGGGGCUAAUACCGGAUAGGAAUCCUUGCUGCAUGGUGGGGGUUGGAAAGCUUCGGCGGUUUUGGAUGGACUCGCGGCUUAUCAGCUUGUUGGUGGGGUAGUGGCUUACCAAGGCUUUGACGGGUAGCCGGCCUGAGUGGGCGACCGGCCACACUGGGACUGAGAGACGGCCCAGACUCCUACGGGAGGCAGCAGUGGGGAAUAUUGCACGAUGGGCGGCAGCCUGAUGCAGCAACGCCGCGUGCGGGAUGACGGCCUUCGGGUUGUAAGAAGCUUUCAGCAGGGGCGAAGCUUGUGGUGAAGGUACCUGCAGAAGAAGCACCGGCUAACUACGUG